CCUACGGGCGGCAGCAGUGGGGAAUAUUGGACAAUGGGCGAAAGCCUGAUCCAGCCAUGCCGCGUGUGUGAAGAAGGCCUUCGGGUUGUAAAGCACUUUCAGUGGGGAAGAAAGCCUUGGGGCUAAUACCCUCGAGGAAGGACAUCACCCACAGAAGAAGCACCGGCUAAUUCCGUGCCAGCAGCCGCGGUAAUACGGAGGGUGCGAGCGUUAAUCGGAAUUACUGGGCGUAAAGCGCGCGUAGGCGGUCUGAUAAGCCGGUUGUGAAAGCCCCGGGCUCAACCUGGGAACGGCAUCCGGAACUGUCAGGCUAGAGUGCAGGAGAGGAAGGUAGAAUUCCCGGUGUAGCGGUGAAAUGCGUAGAGAUCGGGAGGAAUACCAGUGGCGAAGGCGGCCUUCUGGACUGACACUGACGCUGAGGUGCGAAAGCGUGGGUAGCAAACAGGAUUAGAUACCCCAGUAGUC
rnacentral:rRNA from 1 species